UCGUCACACUAUCAUUAACUGAAUCCAUAGGUUAAUGAGGCGAACCGGGGGAACUGAAACAUCUAAGUACCCCGAGGAAAAGAAAUCAACCGAGAUUCCCCCAGUAGCGGCGAGCGAACGGGGAGGAGCCCAGAGCCUGAAUCAGCAUGUGUGUUAGUGGAAGCGUCUGGAAAGGCGCGCGAUACAGGGUGACAGCCCCGUACACAAAAGC
rnacentral:rRNA from 1 species